UCUUAAUGUCCCCAGACUCUCUAUUUAUUAAUUUUUAAUAUCAAAUUAUCAUCCCAUGUGGGAAAUCUAGGUUUCUAAUUCUCAAGCCUUCCUACAGAGGCAAUCAAAUUCACUAGGUCUCUUUUUUUUACUUAAUUGGAGAUAAUACAAAUCUCAAAUGAAAUAUUGCACAGUUGGUGUUUAUCUGAGAUGCGCUGACCAUUCUUUUUCCCCUUUGCAAUUGAAGCCCAGUAUCGUGGCCAAAAGACAUUAAUGUCUUUUGCAUCUGUGUCAUAUAAAACUUCUCUUAGAUUGAAAGUAAACCCCUAAAUACAAAUCCUGCUGUCAUCAAACUUUCUGUUAAUGCCCAGUCUCUUCUCCAAGAAAAGCAUGACUUUACUUUUUAAACUUUUUUGUUUGCAUUUUCUUUUGUUUUUGAAACUUCACAGGCUUCAGAGCCUUCUUCCGUUUCUCUUGAUCUUCCUUUCCUCCUCCUGAAAUCUCAGGAUAAUUAAUUUCAGCAAACUCUGGAGACAUUCAUUCUUCCCUUUAUUUUCUCUACUUUAGGAUCCUACCUCACUUCAUCCUUUUCCAACAGGUACCUUCCUAUUUCAAGUGUAUGACAGGGACCAAUUCCUGUCUUUGCACAGUCCCACCUUUAUGUUCUUCCUCACUUCCCCUCUACUGGUUUAUUUUACUCGACACAUGGACUCUGUUUCCAUCCGUGAGCAUGGUCAACAGUUUGUGUGGCUGCUGAAGUUCUCCCAGCCUGUCUCCCUGGUCAAGAGGGCGGCCCUCUUCUUCCCACAGUGCCCCUCGGAUGCUGGCAGGGGAAAGGCAUUGUGAUCAUCAGCUUUAUUAGUGAUAACAUCAAGGCAAUGGGAAUAAACACACUGACCAAGGGACAGCCUCAUUACCCCAUGAUUAAAGAAAGAAUUGGGGCAAUUUCUCAAAUUCUGUCUCCCUAUUGUACUUCUCUGGAGAUCUGUGUUCAUUUUUCAAUGGAUGUUUAUUGGAUUUCCAACUCCAUCACAGGUAUAUGAUGGAAUAAGGUAGUAAAUUGUAACCACUGAAACCUACCAUGCAUUUCCAUAUGAUUAUGAGUUUCAUUCUAAGCUAGCCUGGGAGUUUCCUGGCGGUCCAGUGUUUAGAACGUGGUGCUUUCACUGCCGAGGGCCCAGGUCCAUUCCCUGGUCAGGGAACUAAGAUCCCACAAGCUAUGUGGCACAGCCAAAAAAAAUUCUAAGCUAGCCAAAGGUGUAGAUUGCUUGUGCAUGGGAAAUCCUGCUCAUUGAAUUAGUAUAUUUCUUUGAAAAGAAUUCAUUUUCUCUGAGUUAAUCAUUUUUAUAUGAUCCAAAUCAUCUACUCUUUUUUCAAAAAUAUGACCCCUUUCCCCCUCACUAUUAUGUUAUAAUUCAUGCACGAUUUCUCUUGAGGUACAAUAUAGUCUAAUUUUCUUUAUUAUUCAAUUUGGAUCCUAUUAAGUGAGACAGGCACUCACUGACAAGAAGGAGCAUUUAAAUUUUGGCAAAUAAGUUCAUUUGUAUUCAGAAAGCUUUGCACCCCUCAUAUUUAAUAAACCUUUCCAUUACAGAGUAAAGAAAUCCUGCAAACUAGUCAAACAGAUUAGCAAUGGGACCACCAAGAGAGUACAUUCAACCCCAAUUCAGAGAUGUCUCAGUUUAUCUGUUUUCUGUCAAUCAUUAAGAAAGAUGAAAUAUACAAUUAUGUACAAGGAGACAGAACUCCUAAUUCUUUCAUCCUAGCUGAAGCAAAAGAAUUUUAAUUGCUUAAAAAAAUUAGAUUUUUGUUUCCUGUCAAGAAGGACAGAGAAAACAAAUGUAAAUUGCCUUAGAGUCAAUGGCUGGAGCUACAAGACUUCGGAGUAGGCAUAUAAGAGGUAGUCCAUCAUUUGUAUUUUUUUUUCAUAAUGGCCAAUAUCCAGAUAUUUGGAAAUAUGAAACGUUUGACAAAAUAUUCCCUUUUCUGCUACAGCUCCUCCAGCAUGUAAAAGGAAAACAUUUUCCCUUUUCAUUAGAAUAUGUAGAGUUGUAUAGAUUUACUGACACCACUUCUGCUUAAUGAGAGUAACACUACACUAAGAUAUUUGAAUAUGCUGUCAAUUAUUCCAGGGUCGAUUUUCCAUUUAUGUGAGUUAUCAGGCCCUUUGUUUCUCUUGUAAGUCCUAUCAGCCAUCUGAUGUUGUGAACCUUACACUGUUUUUAGUAUAUUUACAAGAGGUAAAGUAAGAACAAGGAGAAGAGAUGAAGCAUUAAUCAAUCCAUUUAGUAAUGCAGUACAGCUGCAAAGAAAAAUGAAAGCAAUAGAGAAAAUUAAAGCUCUUGGCCACAGAGAGGUAUAAGCAUUAACUGGAGGUGUCAGUACAUUCCUUGACCUCAAAUUGGAGGCAAAAUUGAGAGUCAAGAGUAAUUAAUUCCAGCGUUUAAGCCAGAUAUUGAAGUCCCUAAAACUAUUUCCCAAGACAAAAGUCUCAAAUAAAACAGUUUAUGUCAGCAAUUCUGAAUAUGAAAUUCCAUUGAUUUAUUUUUCCAUAAAUUAUUUUCUGCACUUAGAGAUAACUGUCAAAUAGAGUUGCUAAUGAUGGAAGAAACAAAGAUAAAGAGAAGGCACUUACAUAGGAUUCACAAUGAGCCUCCAAACAGAGGGCUUCAGCAACUUUGCCUCCAGUGACGCUGAACAGCGGCUAACUCCAGACUGAGAUAGCAGGUCUGUCCUCAGAGACAUGAGGAAAAGGAUCCUUUAGAGCUGACAUCCAAGCCUAUAGAGAAGCCUCCUACAGAUACCAAUGAUCAUGUCUGCAUUCUAGAUGUCUCUCCUGGUCCAAAUCCCUCAUUUUACAACGAAGCACACUGAAAGGCUCCUCCAAGGAAGAAGGAUGCCCUCCUAGAACAAUGGUCACACGAAAAAGGCAGAAUGAAGAAAGUCAAGACCAUGCCUAUCCCAAUCUCUCUCAAAAACGCAGAUACCUAAGACCAUACCAAAUAGGUCCAGGCCUACAGGAAAGGAAACUGAGGCUCAAGAUUAUCCAGCAGUCUGACUCCAGAGCCCUCCGUGGUCACCCCAGGUUCUAAAACUCCUCAGGUGUGAACCAGAGUUCCACCCCAGCCCUCCAAAGUGCAAGCUACUAAAGGGUGACUUCAAGGUCUUAUCUGUUAAUCUAAGGACGCCGGAUACCGCUUUCGGCUGCCGCUGCAGACACCUGCCUCCCUCUCCACCCCCGGCCGCUGUGCCUGUCGCAUGAAGUUGGAGAGAAGAGACGGUAGGGUGAAGAAUGGCCCUCAGCAGAGUUCCAGACAGCACUUCACAUCUCGACAGUUAAAGUUCUCCUCUAAGAAUUCCUGGCUAAUAUUUAGAACAUCAGCAAUGUUGAUCGAUAGCUGUCCUAACAGACUGUCCAAAACUGUCCCAAACCAAUCUCAAAGCUUCCUUGGACGGAGAAGGAUCCCCAUGAAGGCUCUUUGUCACCUACCUGGGGGCAUCUAACACCCACGUAGCCCUCAGAGAAAAAGGACCCCAUU